rnacentral:miRNA from 14 species
UGUGAUGGCUCCUCUGAGAAGGACUUCGAUGGCUCCUCUCAGAGGAACUGCGACAUCU